rnacentral:tRNA from 1 species
GCCGCGGGCGGGCGGCGCGGACAGCACCUCCGCCCCGUAGCGCCGGACCAGGUAGGUCCGGAUCUCGUCCGGGCUGCGGCCC